rnacentral:tRNA from 1 species
AUUAUUUUGGCAGAUUAGUGCAAUGAAUUUAGAAUUCAUAUAUGUAAUUUUUUUACAGAUAAUA